rnacentral:rRNA from 1 species
AGAAUCAACGCUGGCGGCGUGCCUAACACAUGCAAGUCGAACGAGAAAGUGGUAGCAAUACCAUGAGUAAAGUGGCGCACGGGUGAGUAACACGUGACUAACCUACCCUGGAGUGGGGGAUAACUGAGGGAAACCUUAGCUAAUACCGCAUAACACCUACGGGUCAAAGGAGCAAUUCGCUUCAGGAGGGGGUCGCGGCAGAUUAGCUAGUUGGCGGGGUAAUGGCCCACCAAGGCAGUGAUCUGUAUCCGGCCUGAGAGGGCGCACGGACACACUGGAACUGAAACACGGUCCAGACUCCUACGGGAGGCAGCAGUGGGGAAUUUUGCGCAAUGGGGGAAACCCUGACGCAGCAACGCCGCGUGGAGGAUGAAGUCCCUCGGGACGUAAACUCCUUUCGAUCGGGACGAUAAUGACGGUACCGAGAGAAGAAGCCCCGGCUAACUUCGUGCCAGCAGCCGC